rnacentral:sRNA from 1 species
UCGAAAAACAGCAGCCAGCAGCAGCAGC